GAUGAACGCUGGCGGCGUGCCUAACACAUGCAAGUCGAGCGAUUCUCUUCGGAGAAGAGCGGCGGACGGGUGAGUAACGCGUGGGUAACCUGCCCUGUACACACGGAUAACAUACCGAAAGGUAUGCUAAUACGGGAUAAUAUGCUUUAGUCGCAUGGCUGAAGUAUCAAAGCUCCGGCGGUACAGGAUGGACCCGCGUCUGAUUAGCUAGUUGGUAAGGUAACGGCUUACCAAGGCGACGAUCAGUAGCCGACCUGAGAGGGUGAUCGGCCACAUUGGAACUGAGACACGGUCCAAACUCCUACGGGAGGCAGCAGUGGGGAAUAUUGCACAAUGGGCGAAAGCCUGAUGCAGCAACGCCGCGUGAGCGAUGAAGGCCUUCGGGUCGUAAAGCUCUGUCCUCAAGGAAGAUAAUGACGGUACUUGAGGAGGAAGCCCCGGCUAACUACGUGCCAGCAGCCGCCGUAA
rnacentral:rRNA from 1 species